AGAGCCCUGCGCUGCACGUGAGGUUCCAGUCAACGUGAGCCAACACCACGUGACCGGGAAUCCGACUUCCGUUGGGGAGUGCAGGCCCCGCCAGGGGCGGGGAAGCGCGAAACCUCCGGAGAGGGUGCCCACCUGUUGAGGGUUGGGUUCAUCGUUUGACGGAUUCGCCCACGGCAGAGGCGGGGCUUUU
rnacentral:other from 8 species